GUGUCCGUCGUGCGUGCUGCUAUAUUGACGACAAUUCACCGCGACACGCGCACAGCACACUACGGUUCCGUGUCCGACGACGACAGUGACGACUAAAACGAGCCUACUCUAUACCUUCAGCACACAACAGAACUGCAGAGAGAAGGGGCUGCUGCUUUCGUCCACGUUCGGUCCUAUUCCUUGUCCAGCGCAGGAUGGCAGUGUUGGGGAGGAUUGGUGGUCGAGAGCAGCGGUCAAUCCGUGGUCCCCUUCAGAGCUGCAGCAGCCACCACGACCAACGACCCACGAACUCCCGGUGGCCGAUGGACGCGAACAAUGCACACAGCAACACCGCGCCGUGAGCGCUGCUUCCCAUCUGGCCGACGAUACGACGCCGGCCGCCAGGCUAGCGAACUCGCGAUAGGUGUCGCACGUGCGUACGACGCAUGUGCCGGACUGAUUUGCAUCCUUCCAAGGCACAGAUACUAUCGAGGUGCUUUCGUCGUUCCUUUCUUUCGGUUCCAUUCGUUUUGCUUCGUUAUGCGUCCCGAAGGUGGUGCGCACGUUGGGGCAUCCAAGUGAUCGAAUCGCUUUUAAAAGGGUGUUCGGUUAAAACGGUAUUCUGCUCAAUAUCAACUAUACUACCACCACAUUAUUAGUGAGUAAAUUGCAUUAAAGGGCAGUGGAAAGCGAAUCACACGCAAUGCCAGGGACAGCUGAUACGCCUCGAUCUUCGAACGAUCUUCUUCGUUUCUCAAUCUCUAUUAGAAUAUCCGUGUACUUGCGCAGAAUAGUAUUCAAAAUAGCUAAAUCAGUGCUUUAUUAAAGUUAUACAUGAGAACGAAAAGACGGAUCAUGAGCAGUGUCAUUAACAAUGAAACUUAGGUAAAUAUUAACAAUAAAUAUGCAAUAUGCAUUGAUCUCGACAGUAA